rnacentral:lncRNA from 1 species
UUCUGAAAAGAAAAAAAAACAGGAUGUUCUGCCCGCAGAUUUGUUUAGUUCAUGUGAUUAAUUGCUUUGUUGAGCGGAACCUUUAUUUCCGUAAGUUAUACGCAAUUUGUGCACAUGCGCUAUUUUUAUGAUGCGCUACUGUUGGGAUAGGCAUAGUGGAAGCGUCUUGAGUUCUGUGUGCCUUUCCUACGCCCGUGGAAGCAAUAACUGACAUAACCAGAGUCUUCAGCAUGACAUCGCUAGAGAUAGCCAAUGGAAAGAGAUGAGGAGAAGAGAUACAUGGCAAAACGUUGACACGUCAAUUACAACUUGUGCUGCAGCAAUCUGGAUGAGCUGGAUUCUAGAAACCUGAAGCUUGAACCAGAUGAAGAAAGCUAAAGAUCCACACCAAAGUCCCACAUCAUCACCAGCAGCACCAGCACUAGCCUCUGUGCCAUUGUAUCACCCUUCAUGUCAAAACAGACUGAAGAUUGGACAAAGGGAGCACCCCUCCACCUGCAGACUUCGAGGCACCUGACUGACCACACUUACCACCCUUGAGAACACCUGAGCCACCUCAGAAGCAAGUGGCUGAACC